GAUGAACGCUGGCGGCGUGCCUAAUACAUGCAAGUCGAGCGAACGGACGAGAAGCUUGCUUCUAUGAUGUUAGCGGCGGACGGGUGAGUAACACGUGGAUAACCUACCUAUAAGACUGGGAUAACUUCGGGAAACCGGAGCUAAUACCGGAUAAUAUUUUGAACCGCAUGGUUCAAAAGUGAAAGACGGUCUUGCUGUCACUUAUAGAUGGAUCCGCGCUGCAUUAGCUAGUUGGUAAGGUAACGGCUUACCAAGGCAACGAUGCAUAGCCGACCUGAGAGGGUGAUCGGCCACACUGGAACUGAGACACGGUCCAGACUCCUACGGGAGGCAGCAGUAGGGAAUCUUCCGCAAUGGGCGAAAGCCUGACGGAGCAACGCCGCGUGAGUGAUGAAGGUCUUCGGCUCGUAAAACUCUGUUAUUAGGGAAGAACAUAUGUGUAAGUAACUGUGCACAUCUUGACGGUACCUAAUCAGAAAGCCACGGCUAACUACGUG
rnacentral:rRNA from 1 species